rnacentral:rRNA from 1 species
GUAGGGAAUAUUGGGCAAUGGUCGGAAGACUGACCCAGCCAUGCCGCGUGCAGGAAGACGGCCCUCUGGGUUGUAAACUGCUUUUAUCUGGGAAGAAAAAGGCCAUGCGUGGCAAAUUGCCGGUACCAGAUGAAUAAGCACCGGCUAACUCCGUGCCAGCAGCCGCGGUAAUACGGAGGGUGCGAGCGUUGUCCGGAUUUAUUGGGUUUAAAGGGUGCGUAGGCGGCUGAUUAAGUCAGCGGUGAAAGACUUCGGCUUAACCGGAGCAGUGCCGUUGAUACUGGUUGGCUUGAGUGUCGGAGGGGUACAUAGAAUUGAUGGUGUAGCGGUGAAAUGCAUAGAUACCAUCAGGAACACCGAUAGCGAAGGCAUUGUACUGGCCGACAACUGACGCUGAUGCACGAAAGUGUGGGGAUCGAACAGGAUUAGAUACCCUUGUAGUCC